CGGAUUGCAGGCUGCAACCCGCCUGUAUGAAGUUGGAAUCGCUAGUAAUCGCGGAUCAGCAUGCCGCGGUGAAUACGUUCCCGGGCCUUGUACACACCGCCCGUCACACCAUGAGAGUCGGGAACACCCGAAGUCCGUAGCCUAACCGCAAGGAGGGCGCGGCCGAAGGUGGGUUCGAUAAUUGGGUGAAGUCGUAACAAGGUAGC
rnacentral:rRNA from 1 species